CUCUAAAAUAUUUUUCUUCUAUCUAUUAAUAAUAGCAAUCCUACUUAAUUCCAACGGACAUGCAUUUUCCUUAUAAUUUAUUCAUUACUGUUUAUUCAUAACCGUUUAUGGUUCUUCUUCAUUUUUUCUAAACGCUGUUUUAAUUCACUUCAGAAAAAACCCAUGGAUGUUCACAAGAGUACAGACCAUAACAGCCUAAGGGAAUGAGACCCCAAUAACGAAAGCUUAACUGAAAAAAAAAACCCAAUAAAAACAAAAGCUGAGACGGAUGUCAGUAGACACCUAAGCUCAAGAGCGAGCAAGCAUUGUAGAGUUUACAGUCCCGUCAGUCUAAACACGGGCUUCACUCUCAAUCCGUUGUAACAACCAAAUCGGCCCACCACAAGCAAUAUAGGAAUGAUAAAGACGAUCAGAGGUUUCGCAGAAGGAGGUUGAUGUCAUUUGUAAGAGGAAGAUACUCACCAAACUCAGUUUUGUUUAGGAACGUGUCCUUUGCCAGAGCACAUGAGGAAUCAAGGAUGAUCCUCUGUUGGCGUGUGUUGAUAAUGUCCCGAACUGCCCACUGAAUGGCUAUUAGCUCAUCUUCUCUUCUUGUCCCAACAUUAGAGAAAGCAUGCCGACUAUGGAGAAUAGUGUUGCCUUUAUCAUCACGAAAAAUCCAGGCAACUUUAACCUGUCGGCUUACCCAAGAUACUUCUAUAUUACCAUUUCAGAAAGCUAGGGGGGG
rnacentral:lncRNA from 1 species